UCCACUUGAACUGUUGGGGAGCUACUGGUAGAGGGGCCCCAAGGCCGGGCUUCGGUGGCUGCAGUAAACUGGAUCUGGAUCUCUAAAUGGCAGUCUAUUGACAUGGCUGCCAGCGUAAUGGAACCCCUGAUUGAUACACGGACUCAUGACUGUCCACAAGAAAGACUACAUUUCCCAACUCCUAUGCAUCUAGAUGUGAUGGCUUGAGCUGCAACAGCCAUCUUGGACGAUGAGGAGGAAGCCAUACACGAAUGUGGCAGAAAAACAAGAGAAGCAGCUUGGCUCGCUCAUGACUAUAGAGUUGCCAAAUCUUGCUUUCUUCAAGAAAAGUGUCUAAAUGACUUUCUUUCUAGCCUUCGGUGAGAAUCCAAAAACCUCUAUUGUUAGGAAAACCCCCAGGAAGGGCAGAAAGCAACUGAAACCGAGCUCCCCUCCUCACCCCUGUCCCUGCUCCCCAAAGACUAAAGGUUGGAUGGGCCUGGGUGAUAUGAUGAAAUAUGCCAAUCUCCAUCACGUGCCAGAUGCCUCCAUGUCAAUCUUCUGGCUUCCCUGGGUCACACUGGAAGAAGGAUUGUCCUGGGCCACAUAUAAAAUACAUGAACACUAACGAUAGCUGAUGAGCUAAAAGAAAAGAAAUUGCGGCCGGGCGUGGUGGCUCAUGCCUGUAAUCCCAGCCCUUUGGGAAGCCGCGGUGGGUGGAUCAUGACGUCAGGAGAUCAAGACCUUCCUGGCUAAUACAGUGAAACCCCGUCUCUACUAAAAAUACAAAAAGUUAGCCAGGCGUGGUGGCGGGCGGGCGCCUGUAGUCCCAGCUACUCGGGAGGCUGAGGCGGGAGAAUGGCGUGAACCUGGGAGGCGGAGCUUGCGGUGAGCCGAGAUCGCGCCACUGCACU